rnacentral:rRNA from 1 species
GAUCCUGGCUCAGGAUGAACGCUAGCGGCAGGCCUAAUACAUGCAAGUCGAACGGUGAUAGUAAUAUCAUAGUGGCGCACGGGUGCGUAACACGUAUGCAACCUACCUUAUACUUAGGGAUAGCCUUUGGAAACGGAGAUUAACACCUGAUGGUACAGUUGACUUGGCAUCGAGUUACUGUUAAAGAUUUAUUGGUAUAAGAUGGGCAUGCGUCCAAUUAGUUAGUUGGUGAGGUAAUGGCUCACCAAGACGAUGAUUGGUAGGGGAACUGAGAGGUUAAUCCCCCACACUGGCACUGAGAUACGGGCCAGACCCCUACGGGAGGCAGCAGUAGGGAAUAUUGGGCAAUGGAGGCAACUCUGGCCCAGCCAUGCCGCGUGCAGGAUGAAGGCGUUAUGCGUUGUAAACUGCUUUUAUAUAGGAAGAAAUAGACCUUGCGAGGUAAGUUGACGGUACUAUAUGAAUAAGCACCGGCUAACUCCGUGCCAGCAGCCGCGGUAAUACGGAGGGUGCAAGCGUUGUCCGGAUUUAUUGGGUUUAAAGGGUGCGUAGGCGGUUUAUUAAGUCAGUGGUGAAAGACGGUCGCUCAACGAUUGCAGUGCCAUUGAUACUGGUAG